rnacentral:rRNA from 1 species
UACGUAGGGGGCAAGCGUUGUCCGGAUUUACUGGGCGUAAAGAGCGUGUAGGCGGCCAAGCAGGUCCGUUGUGAAAACUGGAGGCUUAAACCUCCGAGACGUCGACGGAAACCGCGUGGCUAGAGUCCGGAAGAGGAGAGUGGAAUUCUUGGUGUAGCGGUGAAAUGACGUAGAUAUCAAGAGGAACACCUGAGGUGAAGACGGGUUGCUGGGCCGACACUGACGCUGACAGCGCGAAAGCCAGGGGAGCAAACGGG